UACGAAGGGGGCUAGCGUUGCUCGGAAUUAUUGGGCGUAAAGCGCACGUAGGCGGUUCGUUAAGUCGGAUGUGAAAGCCCUCGGCUCAACUGAGGAAGUGCACCCGAAACUGGCGAGCUUGAGUACGAAAGAGGAUCGCGGAAUUCCCGGUGUAGAGGUGAAAUUCGUAGAUAUCGGGAGGAACACCGGCGGCGAAGGCGGCGAUCUGGGUCGAUACUGACGCUGAGGUGCGAAAGCGUGGGGAGCAAACAGGG
rnacentral:rRNA from 1 species